GACAGACAAUGCAACAGACAGAUUAGGGGGGCGUCUCAUCAGUAGGGCAUUGCUGUAUGGCUGUAAACAGGUGAGUUGGCUUGACCACAUGCACCAUCUCACAAGGAAAACAACCUUUACCUGCUUUCUCAUGCUUACAUACUUCAAUAUCUUGCACAAUACAGCUCUGUCUUAUGUGAAAGCACUUGUACAGUCUGUCUUAGGCUAGGGUGUAUAGUUAACACUCUUAGCAGAUGAUUUUGCGACCUACAAUUGAGAAGGCAUUCAGUGAUUCAACAAGAAGAGGCAAUGCACACGAGAAGUGCUGGUUAUUCAAAGUAACUUGUUCGUGCUCAGAGAAUUUAGAGCUGGAGUAGGAGUUGUUUUAGCUAGAGGUAGAUGAGAUAAGGAGAGGUGGUACACUGGCACUCAUUGAAGACUGGAGAAACUGCAGCGUUCUGGAACAUCUGUAGAGGCUUAAUGGAUGGGAGUCCAGCUGGAAGAGCAGUGCAGUACACUCAAAAAAAUGAUUCUUGCCUGUAAUUGAAAUUAAGCAAACAAUUUAAAUAGAGUUUGUUUAAAAAAGUAAAAAAUAACUAUUAUUGUUUCAAAUUAUGCUGUCUCAACAUGAAUUUAAUGGACUCGAAACAAACCUGCUCAAAUUACAUAAACUAUACUUAAUUGGUUGCCGUAAAGAGCGAAUGCAGAGGUUGCGCAUGCGCGUAAUUUAAAAACACUGAAGGCGCCAGGACGGGCAUGCGCAUCGGUUAGGAACACUGAAGGCGCCAGGACGGGCUUGCGCAUCGGUUAGGAACACUGAAGGCGGGCUAGCCGGCGGGCUAAGCGCGAGGAAGACAACGGUAGCAGAGAAGUGACAGUGAAGAUCUGAUCGGGAGAGUAUACAAGAGAUCUCAUCGUUGUGACAUUCCACAUUGUCUCCAGUUUGGGACAAUCACUCAAUUACAAUAUGUGAGUCUUGAGAAUGUGGCAAUGUAAAGUGUGUGGCACAGAAGUAUCCAGUAGGUAUGAGUUAUUGAAACAUUCUAAGCUCAAACAUGGACAUUUUGGGGCAAGGUUCAGGCAUCCUUGUGUAUACAAUACAUGUCCUUGCACAUUUAAAUCAUGGAAUAACCUUUUAAGUCAUAUAUACCGUGCACACGUUGAUCAGUCAUCUUCAAAACAAAAUCAGUUAGCUACAUUUUCAUGUCAGCUGUGUACAUGCAUUGAGUCAAAUGAAAGAGAUUACUUUAGUCAUCUAAAUGAACAUCUGCGUAAACAUGAAACUGUGACUUGUGUAUUUAAAGAGUGUACAUUUAAAAGUAACAUUUAUAACACAUUUCAUACACACAAAAAUAGGAAGCACAAUCCACAUUGUCUAACUGACUUUAAAUUAACUGUUGUCACAGUCACUGCAGACUGUCAAGAGUCAGCCAGUUCUCCCAUUGAUUUACCCACAUGUUCAACAGAAUCUGUGUUAGAGUCAUGCAAUGAUGCUAAUACUGAUGAAGAUGUUUUUAAGGGAAGUGUUCUUAAUAUUGCCCUUGUUUUAUUAAAGUUGGAAAACAUUUUGCAUGUCCCAGCCACCGCAGUUGAUGAAUUACUUCAGGAACUACAUUAUUCAUUAACUUCAGCAUCAAAUCAAGUCACUUGUAGCAUAAUUUCUGACAUUUUUAAAAAUCACAACUUAGAAAUUGAUGAAUUUGUCAUUCAAGAGCUUUCUGAAGCAGCAGGCAGGUCAAAUCCCUUGGUUAAAGCCAUAGAAAAAGGUGGUCCCCUUGCCACUGCUUUCAAGCGGAAGCAAUUCUACAAAGAACAUGUAACAGUUGUAGAGCCUAUUGAGUUUAUCCUUAAUCAAAAAAGUCGAAAAACCUAUCAGUAUAUACCAAUUUUGCCUUCUCUUCAGCUGUUGUUUAGUUGCAGUGAUAUUUUACAGUGUGUUAUUGGGGACCACGAGAAGCAAAAAACUGAUUCAGGGGCAGACAAAGAACAGCAGUAUAGGUCAAUCAGAGAUGGACUUUAUUGCAAGGAAAACACAUUUUUUUGUGGAGAGGAAUUAAAAAUAUCACUGUCAUUGUACAUUGAUGAUUUUGAACUCUGCAACCCCUUAGGCACUUCACGUAAAAAGCAUAAACUUUGUGGGGUCUACUGGAUUUUGAAUAAUUUGCCACCUGGAUGCAGCUCCACACUUUCAUCUAUCUAUCUGGCAGUUUUAUGCAAGACUGAACAUGUAAAGUCAUAUGGAUAUGGUACAAUUUUGGAGCCCCUUUUACAGGAAUUGAUUACUUUAGAGAGUCAAGGUGUCUACCUUCCAGGGCUUGGACGGUUUGUGAAAGGUACAGUCCAGUCUGUCAUUGCAGAUAAUUUAGGGGCCCACAGUUUAGCAGGCUUCAUAGAAAGCUUCUCUGGUGAGUACUUUUGCAGGUUCUGCAUAGGGAAGAGAUUGGAGAUUCAAGCUGAAUCUGUUCUGACUGGCGACUUUGCCCUUAGAACAAAGGAAAUUCAUGAUGCACAUGUAGCAUCUGCUAAAGAAAACUCUGUAGCAUUUUGUGGAGUAAAAAGAGGUUGUGUGUUAACAGAGAAUUUAUCUCACUUUCAUGUUACUAGAGGCUAUCCACCAGAUAUUGCACACGACCUGUUUGAGGGUAUUGUACCAUUUGAACUUGCACUUUGCUUGAAAGAGUUUGUUUCCAAGAAGUACCUGUCUCUUGAUACUCUAAACUCAUUGAUUUUGAACUUCCCUUAUAAGUGGGGUGAUAAAACCAAUAAACCACACGUUAUUCCAUAUACAUAUGCCUCCAAGAAGACAAUUGGAGGUAACGCACAUGAAAAUUGGAAUUUAAUGAGAUUGCUUCCAUUCAUCAUUGGAGACUUGAUACCAGAGACUGAGCCUGCUUGGAUCAUACUUCUUGAUUUGAAAGAAAUAGUUGAACUUGCUGUAGCCCCUAUUCAUAACGAAGAAACAGUAGCCUACUUAAACUGCAAAAUUGUAGAGCACAGACACAGAUUUGUUGAACUUUUUCCAGCACAACUGUUACCAAAACAUCAUUAUGUGGAGCAUUAUCCACAAAUGAUUCAGUUUUUUUGGACCUCUAGUAGGGCUGUGGACUAUGAGGUUUGAGGCGAAACAUAGCUUCUUUAAGAAAGUAGCUCGCCACACAAAUUGUUUUAAAAACAUAACGCUCACACUGGCUGCCAAACACCAGCAAAUGAUCGCUUAUCAGAUCCAUUCUUGUAGCCUUAAGAAGUCCAGACUAGAAGUUACUAGUGUCUCCACACUUUCUGUGGAUAUUUUAAACAAGGAAGUGGUAGAAGGCUUAAGACAGAAAUAUCCAGGGAUUAAUGAAGUUCAUCUGGCAAAAAAUGUGACAAACAAUGGGAUAAAUUAUAGAACUGGUAUGCUGAUUUCGUUUGGGUCAGCAGGUGGGCUCCCAGAGUUUGCUGAAAUUCUUCAAAUCUUUAUUGUCAAAAGCAGACUGAAUUUUGUUGUGAAGGUACUGUGUGCAUGGUAUCAAGAACAUUUUAGAGCUUUUCAGUUAACUGUCUCUCCUGAUAGAGAGGUUGCCCUGGUUGAUUUAGAUCAGCUAACGGAUGCUUAUCCACUGUAUGAUUAUAUGGUAGGAGGAAGACGAAUGGUGACCCUGAAGAGGCACAUCCUCAUUUAAGAAAAAAGAAAGAUGUCGAGUCCAGUCAAUCUAAGGAUUGUUUUUGGUGGGGAUGAAGAUGCAAGAAAGCUUGCACUUAAGACAGGAAUCCCAAAGUCUGUGGAUGAACUUGUCCUUGAAAUAAUGACUGUUUUUGGUGUAAAGCAAAAGUUCAGGCUCCAGUACAAAGAUAAGGACUUUGGAAAUGAAUACAUGAAUCUCACAUCAACCACUCAAAUUGAAGACAGGGAUACCCUGAAAGUGAUUUUUCUGUCAACUGAUGACUUUAACUCCUGCAUGCAUGAGACUGCACCUGAUGUACCGUCCUGUUCCAGCAUUCUUGUUCCUUUGCACAAGACAACCUGUAGCUCUGACUCUCCUAACACAAGACAUGCUAGCCCUUGUGAAUUUGACUCAGUCUCAGAAGUCUACUUGUCUGAGGACUCAUUUUCCAGCAGCACCGAGACUGUCUUGAUUAAGUCUCCGGAGUCAAGAACCAGUUCUUGGCCUCAGGUUUUUGUAAUUCCUCGUUUUUCUUGUUCUGCUGAAAUUCAGCUUCAGAGAGCUGACACAGAGUUCAACAAAAGUGAAAUGCUACUUAUUCCACCACCAAAAUUAAGAUCUGACAUUCUUGAAGGCAUGGCUGAGGAGAUCUUUAGGUAUGCUGCAUACCCCACUGAUAGUCAGCUUGAUCAGGCAGCUGAAGCCUUGAUAAAUGUCCACCCUUGCUUGAGGGAAAAGGGAACUCGCACUGGUCAUGAAGGAUGGAAACACUAUCUAAAGAUAAAGAUGGCUAAUUUCCGCUCAAAACUCAGCAAGAUUGGACACCCAGAAAUCACUGUAAAUUCACUUAGGAACAAGCGUGAAGGUCGGGGUAAAGCAGCAUCAAACAUCAAAAAGCCAAAAAAGGCUGAGGUGAAUUUCCUUCCCUGCCUUCCAAGAGGAGAAACAGCUGAUAGUAUGGAGAAGGAAAGAAUUGCUCUCUUAACUGAAGUGAAAAAAAA